rnacentral:rRNA from 1 species
AGCAGCCGCGGUAAUUCCAGCUCCAAUAGUGUAUAUUAAAGUUGUUGCAGUUAAAAAGCUCGUAGUUGAAUUUCGGGAUCAAAUUGUCGGUCGUGCCUCGGUACGCACUGGCGUUAUUGGUUCCUCCCUUCUGAAGAACCGCGAUGUCAUUAAUUUGGUGUCGCGGGGAAUCAGGACUGUUACUUUGAAAAAAUUAGAGUGUUUAAAGCAAGCUCGCGCUUGAAUACAUUAGCAUGGAAUAAUGAAAUAGGACGUUUGAUUCUAUUUUGUUGGUUUCUAGGGUCGACGUAAUGAUUAAUAGGGAUAGUUGGGGGCAUUAGUAUUCAAUUGUCAGAGGUGAAAUUCUUGGAUUUAUUGAAGACUAACUACUGCGAAAGCAUUUGCCAAGGAUGUUUUCAUUAAUCAAGAACGAAAGUUAGGGGAUCGAAGACGAUCAGAUACCGUCGUAGUCUUAACCAUAAACUAUGCCGACUAGGGAUCGGAUGAUGUUAAUUUUUUAAUGACUCAUUCGGCGCCUUAC